CAGGGAAGACUCACAUAGAGGCAGCAGUAGAGAAUCUUGUGCAAUAWACGAAAGUAUGACACAGAGAGGACACAUUUAAUUGAGCCCGUCAAAUUAAGUGCCAGCCGACGCGGUUAAACUUAAGGGCUGGUCUUUAUAAGUAAAAAGGCGUAAAGGAUGUGUAGGCCAAGAAACGACCCAAGAAGGUAAAUGGAAUUUUUCUGGAGCGGUAGAAUGUGAGGAUAGAAAAUAGAACCCCUAAGGUUAAAACUAUUUACCACAAGGUAGGCUGAAACAUGAGUGUGUGGGGAGCAAACAGGAUUAGAGACCCUGGUAGUCCACACUGUGAACUUUGAAGAUGAUGCUUAGCAGACCCGAAAGGUAAAAUCUUCCGCCUGAGUAGUACGAUCGCAAGAUUAAAAUUCAAAAACUUUGGCUGUUCACUAUUUCGAUUAGAGGAGCGUGUAGUUUAAUUCGAUGGUCCGCGUGUUACCUUACCCCAACUUGAAUCUGUGACCGGUAUUGCAUGGCCGUCGUAAGUUCGUGUAUUAAGCUAGAAGGGACCCAACCCGGGCAUUUGCCCGGAGGAAGUCAGGUYUUAUGAUCCGAAUGUUGGGGGAUUUUAUGCGCUACAUUUUCUUAUAUAAUGGGAGACCUGGAAGGUGAGCCUCUAAAGUAAGAGUUCGGAAGGUCGCUGUAAGACGACUGGAAGUUGGAUUUAAUAGUAAUCGGAAAGUAGGGCGUUCCGGUGAAUUGGUACAAGUGUUAGCACAAAUUGCCCGUCGCCUUUACCUAGAAUGGUUAUUCGGACGCSUUCGGWGRYURCGAAUGC
rnacentral:rRNA from 1 species